UACGUAGGGGGCAAGCGUUAUCCGGAAUUACUGGGUGUAAAGGGUGAGUAGGCGGCAUGGUAAGCCAGAUGUGAAAGCCUUGGGCUUAACCCGAGGAUUGCAUUUGGAACUAUCAAGCUAGAGUACAGGAGAGGAAAGCGGAAUUCCCAGUGUAGCGGUGAAAUGCGUAGAUAUUAGGAGGAACACCAGUGGCGAAGGCGGCUUUCUGGACGAAAACUGACGCUGAGGUACGAAAGCGUGGGGAGCAAACAGG
rnacentral:rRNA from 1 species